rnacentral:rRNA from 1 species
AUUGAACGCUGGCGGCAGGCUUAACACAUGCAAGUCGAGCGGGGUGAUGGUGCUUGCACUAUCACUUAGCGGCGGACGGGUGAGUAAUGCUUAGGAAUCUGCCUAUUAGUGGGGGACAACAUCUCGAAAGGGAUGCUAAUACCGCAUACGUCCUACGGGAGAAAGCAGGGGAUCACUUGUGACCUUGCGCUAAUAGAUGAGCCUAAGUCGGCUUAGCUAGUUGGUGGGGUAAAGGCCUACCAAGGCGACGGUCGGUAGCGGGUCUGAGAGGAUGAUCCGCCACACUGGGACUGAGAAACGGCCCAGACUCCUACGGGAGGCAGCAGUGGGGAAGAUUGGACAAUGGGGGGAACCCUGAUCCAGCCAUGCCGCGUGUGUGAAGGAGGCCUUAUGGUUGUAAAGCACUUUAAGCGAGGAGGAGGCUCUUUUGGUUAAUACCCAAGAUGAGUGGACGUUACUCGCAGAAUAAGCACCGGCUAACUCUGUGCCAGCCGCCGCAGUAA